rnacentral:rRNA from 1 species
GCUUAAUUCAUGCUAGUCGAGCGAACAGACGAGGAGCUUGCUCCUCUGACGUUAGCGGCGGAGGAAGAGGAAGACGUGGAUAACCUACCUAUAAGACUGGGAUAACUUUGCUAAACCGGAGCUAAUACCGGAUAAUAUAUUGAACCGCAUGGUUCAAUAGUGAAAGACGGUUUUGCUGUCACUUAUACCUGGAUCCGCGCCGCAUUAGCUAGUUGGUAAGGUAACGGCUUACCAAGGCAACGAUGCGUAGCCGACCUGAGAGGGUGAUCGGCCACACUGGAACUGAGACACGGUCCAGACUCCUACGGGAGGCAGCAGUAGGGAAUCUUCCGCAAUGGGCGAAAGCCUGACGGAGCACGCCGCGUGAGUGAUGAAGGUCUUCGGAUCGUAAAACUCUGUUAUUAGGGAAGAACAAAUGUGUAAGUAACUAUGCACGUCUUGACGGUACCUAAUCAGAAAGCCACGGCUAACUACGUGCCAGCAGCCGCGGUAAUACGUAGGUGGCAAGCGUUAUCCGGAAUUAUUGGGCGUAAAGCGCGCGUAGGCGGUUUUUUAAGUCUGAUGUGAAAGCCCACGGCUCAACCGUGGAGGGUCAUUGGAAACUGGAAAACUUGAGUGCAGAAGAGGAAAGUGGAAUUCCAUGUGUAGCGGUGAAAUGCGCAAAGAUAUGGAGGAACACCAGUGGCGAAGGCGACUUUCUGGUCUGUAACUGACGCUGAUGUGCGAAAGCGUGGGGAUCAAUGAGGAUUAGAUACCCUGGUAGUCCACGCCGAAAACGAUGAGUGCUAAUUGUUAGGGGGUUUCCGC